UCAGUUAGGCUCUGAGUCCGGGCGGUCGCGCGGCCUCCCGCCCCUCCCUCGGGACUGGCUCGGCGGAGGAGACUCCCGCCCUCGGCCCUCCACGCGGCUCCGACCCAACUCUGCCCGAACUCCGAGAGCUGGGCAUAGCCCCGCCAUGCGGAACGUUUUGCUGCCAAGGGCCCCGGCCGGUCUCCCCGCGGGUCACCUGGGUCCCGCCACGCACCCCAUCCCGCACCCAGUCUUCGGGAGGCCCGCUCGCGCUGCCCUUGGGGAGGAGACAGGUGACGCGAACAGUCAGGGGCCAGGAAGGAAGGUCCAAGGGCCUGCAACAUUCCAGGACCACCAGCAAGGCCUGUGCCCUCUCCCAGAAAGGCCAGUGAGAUGAGUUCAGGAUGUGGUACUCAGGGCUCCGUGCCCAAGGUCACCUCUCCACUUGCCACUUCCCUCAGAACUCAGCAGUGCAAGGAGGGCCUUGCCACCUGCACCCGGUACAGCAGCCGUUUUCGAGGCCUGGCCACACACCUGCAUGGAUGUGGAUGGAAGCAUGAUUCCCACUGGACCUCGCCUCAGAGAGUUUCAGCUGGACCUUAUGGAAAAGUCACAGCUAGGAGAUAGCUGGGGAGCUGCGAAGGGGUCUGUGUCCAGCUGGCAGUGUUUGCUGAUGAACUGAACGUGGCUGUGACAGACAGGAGUCAAGGACACCUCCAAAGUUUCCAGCCCGAACGCGUCCAAGAAUGGUGAGGCCACUGAUGAGAGGGGCGUCAAGGGAGGAGCAACAUGGGGGAGAAUGUCAGGAGCUCUGAUUUGAACACAUUGGGAAGUCCAUUGGCCUUCCCGCUGAGGCAGCGAGGAGGCAUCUGGGGGGACAGCCUGGAACUUGGGUGCAAGAUCUGAGCGGAAGGUGGAAGUGUGGGAGUCAUCGAGACGGUAUUUAUAGCCACGAGGCUGCCUGAGGUCACUCCGGGAGGCAGGGUGGAUGGCGAGGUCCCAGGCUGGGCUCUGGGGCUCUCUGAAUAAUUUAUUGGCUAAUAAUUACACCGUUUUAUUCCUUGAAGCAUCUGGCACGUUGCCUGGCUCUCCAUAGAAGUUCGCCGAAUUGAGCAGAACUCUAUGGCGCUUCAUUUCCCACACGUUUCCCCUGCUAGUCAGGGCUCCCAUGCUAUCUUAGCGGGAGAGCUGGCAGUUAGAAUCAUUCAGUUAAAUGGGAAAUGAGAUAUUCUUUAGGAAUUUCUCAGAAUCGGAAGGGAACUUGGCCCUCAAAUUCCCACUCCAAUAGUGAAAGUUCCUGUAAAGACAAAAAUUCCAUGUGCUGCAGACCCCAGAGGUCAGAGCUGCAAGCCUCCCCUCACCUCCACGCCUUCACCCCACGCUCAGCUCCCUAGGUCCAGAUGUUUUAUUUUUCCUGAUCUUGGGAGAACUUUACCACGGGAAGUUUGCUCUGCAGAGAACUUGGCCGCACCAUGGAGCCCUGCGGUCUGUCCUUCGCUCAGGACGCCCAGGACGCCCGCGUGGACAAAUGCUGCCCUCGCCACCUUGCUCCCCGCCGUGAGCGCGGCGGCACUGGAAUAGCAGCAUGAAUCACUUGAACCGUGACGCCCAGGACGCCUUCUGUGGAGCUGCUGCUGGUGUCCGGGGAGCCGGGGAAGGGGACCCUGCCCCCUGCCCACCCAGGGGCUCCGAGUUCGCCAGCAACCUGGAGAAGCCAGUCGGUGGGAAUGAUGAGAGCAAACAUUUCUCACUGUUCAGACGCGGCUUUACCAUGACACUGAUUCAGCUUAAGCUUUAGGGUCUCCCGUCUGCAUCCCUUCUGCAGCGCCAUGCCUCGUGUUUUAAUUUGCAUUUUUCUUUUCUGGAAGAAGGCUCACAUUUUUAUAAGUGUCAGGUCUGACAGGACUUGAGUUUGGGUUAUUUCGUUUAAUCCUCGUAGUAACGUCGGGAAGUCACUGGCACGUCAUUAUCCCUUUACGGACAAGGUCAUAGAGCGUAGGAAAGCCAUCUUUGGGUCCCUUGAAAAUUCCACACUUGUUCAGCCCUGCACCCUCCGUUACCCUUCCUGGCACCCCGUCCCUGGCUGGCUUCUCCUCCCCCCAGGUCUCAGGGACCUUCACUAUGCACCCACCUUUAGGGGCCCCUUCCUUUCCUGCCUCCCUGGUUAUUCUCUGUCCCUUACCGUUUGCUUUCCUUAUAAGUCUAGAGUUAUCGUCAUCGGUGCAUUUAUUUAUAAAUAUAUAUAUAUAUAUAUAUAUAUAUAUAUAUAUAUA